UCUGCUCAGCGCUUCUCCAGCAAAGUGGGAGGAGAAAUGGAAGGGGCUCCGUUUCUCCUGCUGCUGCGCUGAAGGGGCACUGCGCAGCUUUCCCUCUCUGCGCAGCGCCCCUUCAGCGAAGCAGCAGGAGAAAUGGAGCCCCUUCCAUUUCUCCUCCUGUGCACCGAUCCC